GGCUCGGUAGCGCAGCGGUUCAGCGCACCUGUUGUAUUUAAUCGGAAUGAUCAGGCCUAAAUCAAUCAGGAGACCCCAGUUCGACUCUGGGCCGAGUUG